rnacentral:rRNA from 1 species
AUACGUAGGGGGCGAGCGUUGUCCGGAAUGAUUGGGCGUAAAGGGCGCGUAGGCGGCGCGGUAAGUCUGGAGUGAAAGUCCUGCUUUCAAGGUGGGAAUUGCUUUGGAUACUGCCGCGCUUGAGUGCAGGAGAGGUUAUCGGAAUUCCCGGUGUAGCGGUGAAAUGCGUAGAGAUCGGGAGGAACACCAGUGGCGAAGGCGGGUAACUGGACUGCAACUGACGCUGAGGCGCGAAAGUGUGGGGAGCAAACAGGAUUAGAUACCCCGGUAGUCCAGACUGUAAACGAUGAAUGCUAGGUGUAAGAGGUAUCGACCCCUUUUGUGCCGGAGUCAACACAAUAAGCAUUCCGCCUGGGGAGUACGGCCGCAAGGUUGAAACUCAAAGGAAUUGACGGGG